CCUACGGGAGGCAGCAGUGAGGAAUAUUGGUCAAUGGGCGCGAGCCUGAACCAGCCAAGUAGCGUGAAGGAUGACUGCCCUACGGGUUGUAAACUUCUUUUAUAAAGGAAUAAAGUGAGGCACGUGUGCCUUUUGUAUGUACUUUAUGAAUAAGGAUCGGCUAACUCCGUGCCCGCAGCCGCGGUAAUACGGGGGAUCCGAGCGUUAUCCGGAUUUUUUGGGUUUAAAGGGAGCGUAGAUGGGUUAUUAAGUCAGUGGUGAAAAUUUUCGGCUCAACCGUAAAAUUGCAAUUGAUAAUGGCAGUCUUGAGUACAGUUGAGGUAGGCGGAAUUCGUGGUGUAGCGGUGAAAUGCUUAGAUAUCACGAAGAACUCCGAUUGCGAAGGCAGCUUACUAAACUGCCACUGACAUUGAUGCUCGAAAGUGUGGGUAUCAAACAGGAUUAGAUACCCUGGUAGUC
rnacentral:rRNA from 1 species